rnacentral:lncRNA from 13 species
CUCCUGGAGGCAGCCAGCAUUCCUUGGAUCAUAACCCCCUUUGUCUUUAAAGCCAUCCAAGGCUCCUGGAGUCUUUCCCAGAUCUCAAAAAGACCCGUGGAUCCCAAGAGAAGGAGAAGAACUGGUUGCUUGAGGACCUAGACUUCUUCGUAUGAAACAAUACAGCAUGCCAGAGAUAAAUUACAGCUGGGAGCUAGACCACAUGAUAUAGAAGUAGCUGCACAUUGAUGUUGAAUGAAGCAGGAAAGCAGAAUACUUAAACUUCUGCCAAACUCCCAAGAAGCUGACCUUCCAAUUUGCAGUGUCAUUGCUUAGGUUGUUUCCUGCCCAUCAAAUGCCAGGGGCCUAGAUUGACCAUUGCCACCGUGCCUGGAGAGGCCAAGAAGUACACCAUGGAGAUGACAAUGACUGUAGCAAUCCAGCAGUCUGCUCUUACUGGGUGAUUGUAAGAGGGUAAAGCAGAUGUGCUGAACUUUGUGAUGAUUUUAUAUUCCAGUAAACACCCAGUAAGACAACAUGGGAGGCGCCAGGGCCCGUAUGGGUAUUGGAGAAGUAGUGGACAAAGUCAGACCCAGCCCAGCCAAUGAGGGCAGGGCCUCACUGGUGUUGGUCUCACCAGUAAUGAAUAGAAGAUGCCCAGAGUGAGUGAGACAACUUCCAGGACUAGAACUGUGUAUGGAGCCCAAACCAGGAGAGUCGGGAGAAAGAGGACAGUUGGACAUUAUCUUCAUGGAUGGAAUCUUGCCAGCAGACACCAAUAUCCCUUGUUUACAGAAGAAGAAAAUAGCCGUAGAGGUUAAGGAAAUUGCUGGAAUUCACAGAGUUCGGAAGUGACACUCAGGGUGUGGGCUCUAGAUUGUUGCUCCUGCCCAAUGAUUUCCUCAGU